AUGGCGGCGGGGGGUGUGUGGGUGUUCCGAAAGGACGCGGUGAUGGAGCUGCAGAGCGCGGCCGGAGGGUCGCCAACGGGCCAGGGCGUCGGCGGCCACAAGGCGCUGGUGUACCUGCCGGCUAACGAGCCCAUGCGGUCGCUGGAGGCGCUGGAGCGGCGGCUGGGGUCGCUGGGUUGGGAGCGCUACUACGAAAACGGAGACAUCGUGCAGCUCCACCGGCGCGACGGCGGCGUCGACCUCAUCGCCCUCCUGCGUGACUUUACGCGGUUCCGCUCCACCCACAUGUACGACAUCGUCGUCAAGAACCGACACCACUUCAAGGACGUCGACCUCUAG
rnacentral:rRNA from 1 species